UCGAGUUAGGGUCUUCUAGGCCCGAUCUCCAACCCUUUGUCUAUUAUACCACUUGUUGCUUCGGCGAGCCUGUUUCUUGCAAUAUAGAGACUGCCGGGGGCUUCUGCCCCUAGUUCGCGCUCGUCGAUAGCCAUUAUCAAACUCAUGUUUAACUGUGUCGUCUAAGUAAAAAGCACUUAAUUUAAUUA
rnacentral:misc_RNA from 1 species